AAAAAAUGCAGCAAUCCCAUUUCUGCCUCCUUAAUACUCAUGUAUAAAAAUGAUCUGGAUUGAAUGUAUAUCUUGCUUUAUUGUUUUUCUCAAUUUCACAAUACAUUUCACAGUUAAAAUCUUUUGAAAACGGUACAACACUCAAAUAACUUCACCUUUACAUUUCUGUACACUUUAUCCUUUAUGUUUAUUCCUUAUGUUCCUUUAUUUUUAAUGAUAUUUUGUUAUUUUUUUAAUACUGUAGUACACAAUGGAAUUAAUUUCUUAAGCAAGCAAGCAGCCAUGGCAGAAUCCAGAGAUUACGUUGGAGAUUUCCUGACAGAAUUCAAGGAGCAGAUAAUUACGAGGGCUACUCGGGUCAGUGACAUUGCUGAGGCUGUUGUCUCCCAAAGUCUGAUCCAUGAAGCAGCAGCUCAACAAGUACAGGCUGCUCCAACCCAGCAGGAGGCAAUGCGGCUCCUGUUUGAGGCUUUGGAAAGAGAGCCACCCCUAAACAGAGUGUCCUU
ensembl:lncRNA